rnacentral:lncRNA from 1 species
UUAUUUAUUUCCCUUGUGAAAGCAAAAGGCUUGACUUCUUAAUGUAUGGCCACCAACUUUAGUGAGUCAUAUGGGAAAAACAAAGGGCUGAUUUGCUGAAAUGUCCAAAACAGGGUUAUUAUAAUUGAGAAAGUCUGAGAACCGAAAUGAUAAACAAAUGCUUGUGGUUGUUGGAUGACUGGAAAAUGACUUUUCUUCCAGGUAACUUAAUAAUGCCUACAAAAAACGGAGGCUUUGCCGGCCAAGAAAUUGGCUUUUAUAAUUUAUAAUGCAGAGGGGUAAGCUAAGGCCAAUGAUAGCCAAUUUUAUAUGCAAUGAGGAAAUGAUUUUUAUAUCAGUAGUUGUCUUGGUAUAGUGUUACAGGUCAAGGAGUUGGAGAACUUGGACUUUUCAACUUGAUACUCCCUUGGGAUUGGAGGGUAACAAAAGCCAAACAAGGCCACAUUGUUGAAAGAAUUAUACAAAUUGAUCGUGGAAUAAGCCAAACUGGUUUCAAUUUCUAAUCUGGAGGUUUGAAACUUAGCUUUUUGGAUGGACCAGGUAACUCUACUUGUAUGGUUCAAAAUCAUCUGUUAAACAGAAAAAAGUACUGGCUUUCUUUGAUAAAACUGCUACCAGCAUACAGAUUUUGUAAAUGAUCAUGUAAUUACAGGGAUAUUAACUGGUAAGUUACUCGUUAUUUUUGAAAUACCUUAAUUCAAAUCUUAUUAUUUGAUGGGGUAUUCGAGCCUUACAAAUAUCUAAUUAAAAUUUUUAAUUGUUACCUAAAUCUAUAUUCGCACAUAGUAAAUAUUCGAAUAUGAAAUUAACCAUUAUAUUUUUGUUUAUGUCAAUUAAGCUGUUAACUAUAAAUCCAUUUAGGUGUGCAAACUGCAAAUAAAGAUUACUCUAUUACAGAAAAUUUCCAUAUUUAUUGCUAGUGUCAUUUAUUGGAUUUAAUUAUACCGGAAUUAUGAGAAGGACCAUGAAAAGGAAGCAAUACUCAUAGAUAUAUAAUUUAUAGCGUACAUAUCUAUCAGUCUUUUGCUCAUGAAAUAUAAUAUUAACAGUUAAAAACAGCUCGCAGAAAAUGAUAGGCACGAUUGUCUUUUUUGUUUUUUUCCUAUAAUUAAACUCAAAAGACAAGACUAACAAACUAAAGAUCUAAAUAUAUAAUUGAUUUGAUUUACCUCUUGUAAGAGGUAAAAGGUCUUGAGAUUUAGGUGAGAUCUUGGUUAUGACGACAAGGAAAGACAAGUAGUUAACUUUGGGGCCGUGGGUAAAAUUGGGGACAGUGUCCAAAUAUAAGAACAAAUUAAGUCAUUGUCAUUUGAUUAUAUUCUGAAAUUGUUGUAAAAUGUUUGCCAUUGCAUGAUUCGGUGAAGGGCAUGUUGUCCAUUAUUAGACUUGAUAAUUAAUGGAGAUAACUAUAUAUAGCAUUGUCUAACAUAUAUAUGUAAUAUGUAAAUAUACCUUAUAUAUGGUUGGCUUAGUAUUACAAGUUAUUGUGAAAAAAAAAAAAAGAGUGAUACGAUAAGAAAGUUAAUAGUAUUUAUAACUCAAAACUAUGUACUGUCAAGGUUAAAUGAUUUCAUCUUAUGGUGAUCUUAUCUUUGGAUUAGACAUGAGCAAAUAAUGCAGAACUGAAAUAGGAAAAUAAUCAAGGAAGAUGAGUUGUUGUAUCAGUUUUUAGUUGGGGGAUGUGCUUUCAGUAUUCAAUAAUUGAUACAAAUGAGUAUGAAAUGCAUACAUCAACUAUUGAUUACAAAUACCAUGAUGGGCUUUUCUACCAUCUUCGAGUCAUUAUCAAAAUGUAUUAACAUGAAUUUGGUCCUAUCCUUUCAUCAGUUUUAUGGAAGGCGCCUGUUUCAAGUGCAACAUACUUCAUUGUAGGACAACACAAAUGAGCAGAAACCCUCCAUUUUUAUGUUGAACGAGGAAAGCUUUUUGCAUUUUGUGUUCUGUAAUUAUUCAAAUUGACCUGUUCUUUCUUGUUUGCAAAAGGAUUUGGAUAGAUUGAAUUAAGAAAGGAACGCUAUAGAGUGGGUGUUGGUGGUAAUCAGCUACCGUGUGAAGCA